UUUAUGGAGAGUUUGAUCCUGGCUCAGGAUGAACGCUGGCGGCGUGCCUAAUACAUGCAAGUCGAGCGAACAGAUGAGGAGCUUGCUCCUUUGACGUUAGCGGCGGAC
rnacentral:rRNA from 1 species